CCUCCUGCUAUGAUUGUGGACUAAAAAUCCCAGUGAUUUUGGGGGGCAGUCGGAAGAGGAAGCAAACACACAGCUCAUGCUGACUGUGCGCCAGAAAGCUGUGCUGUAGUGCCCCUCGGCUUUUGGCCUGAGCCACUGCAGAUUCCAGCAGCAGAGACAUCAGGAGCAAGAACAAAUAAAUCCUACGUGAAAAGAAAAUCUCAGUACUUGUCAAGACAUGACCGCUUUUGCAGCAUCUCUCUGAGAAUGGGAUCUAUGUAUUCCAUUCUCAUGAAAACCACAAACAGUCGGAGGGGCAGGCAUAUGUAGAAAAUACCUAGGGCUUCUGUGAACUAAGAAUGUGAUGUGUCAUUCCAACCUUGAGGAGCAAUUAAUGCUGGCUUUGAAGAGAAGAAAGAAACAUAACCAGCAGUAUUCACUGUAGGUUCUGUCCUGCAAGGGGCUGAGGUGCCUCUCUCUCUCUCUCUCUCUCUCUCUCUCUCAUUCAGCAAAAGUAUGCAUUUCUACUUUAAGCAUAUGAUUCCACUUCAGACGCUGGCUUCCCCUUUUUCCUCCCCUCAGAAAAUUCAGCGUCUGAAGUGGAAUCAUAUGCUUAAAGUAGAAAUGCAUACUUUUGACUGUCAUCAUUAAGUAUUCUUAACCAUGUAAGACUGUUCUUAUUCCCUCUUUGCUAAAUUCUUGGUCUCAGUGGGCACAUCUACACAUGCAUUUACUCCAACUUAAAUUUACUGGAGAGUUUUUGUGUAGGUAUCUACACAUGUGGGAUUAGGAAGCAGAUUUGCUUCCAGUUCUCUGCAGCUCUGCAAUAGGGCCGUUGAGCAACUGGGGGGGGGAAGAGAUCCAGGCACUGCUGGCAGAACCUCUUUAAAAAACUCUGGCACAGCUGGUGCAUCUGUAGGGCCUGUUAGGGUAGCUUGUCAUAUUUUAUGCUUUAAAGUUGCACCUGUUUAUAGUGGUGAAUUACAGUAUUGUUUAAACGGUUUUUUUUUAUAUUCAGCACUAUUUAAUCAUUGCUUAAAUUCUGUAUAGCCUCAUUAUUUGAACUUUUUGUUGUCUGCAAUAUCACCUGGCCUUGCCUCUUGCAAGCAGCUUAUGACCUUGAGUUUGCUUGCAUGUUUCUUUCCUUUUCUAUCACUGUAAGAAGUUUUUCUAAUGCAACAUAAUUUGAGCUGGUAAUAAAACUAUUAUUAACUGAGCUUGGCACUAACUGGCUGAAUCAGAGGGAUGAAAUGAUUGGAUAUGCUAAUGAAAGGUGAUAUGGGAGAAUAGACGGUGCCCAAAUUAAGACACCUGAAAAUGGCUAAAUUUAAGUGGUGUGCUCAUGAUGGGUCUGAACAAAGAAAUAUGCUGACAGGAUAAAGUAUGGACAACAUGCUGACUGGACAGAGACCAAUCUGAAAGCAAGGAGUUAUCAAAGGAAUCAAGUUAAAGAAAAACAUAAAAGAGGGAAGCAAGAAAGUUAAGUGUUGUCAUGGUCAUUGUGAAGAGGUUUCCCUUGCCUCCUCAGAAAAAAGAGAGAAACAGGAAAAAGCUUACCUGAGACGCUGGAGGCAGAGCAGCUUCAGGGGACACAGCAACAGCUGAAAUGCCACUUUAUUAGCUGCUGGUCCAUCUGGAUUGGCACUUCCCCAAGUGGUGAGGCCUAUUUCUGGCCCAGAGCUGGCUGGAGGUGGGGGAGAAGAGAGAGAGAGAGUUGACAUGUUCACCUGCUUCCUCCUGAAUGCCAUUUAGAGACCCUGGGAAUGAAAAAAGAGAUCAGAUUACAGUCUUGGAGCUCAGAGGCGCUCAGAACAAUGAGAGAGGUACAUCCCAUUGGAAGCAUAUGCCAGCUGAACUGACAGAACCGGGACUGAGUUGCAGAGGCUGCAAGCCUCAAGACUGACUGGAAGG